CAAAUCUCGUGCCAGCAGUCGCGGCAAUACGAGGAAGACUAGUGUUAUUCAUCUUUAUUAGGUUUAAAGGGUACCUAGACAGUAUUUCUAGCCUCCAAAGGGAACAGAUUUACUAGAGUUUUAUGUGAGAGGAAAAUAUUAGAACCAUUGGAGUAGUGAUAAAAUGUUUUGAUACUAAUGGGACGGAUAACGGCGAAGGCAAACCUCUAUGUAAUAACUGACGUUGAGGGACGAAG
rnacentral:rRNA from 1 species